AGCAGCCGCCAGCCAGCUGCAUCAGGAGAUGUUAGUCACGCCCGGAAGGCUGUUCUAGUCCGCCUCCUUGGAAAAGAAGCUCAAGUAAAUAAUUGAUGGAGAAUGACCGAACCCAGGACAAAGCUUUGCAGGAAACCAGUGCAUCCGUGUUCGAGCGGUUUUGGGAUCCUCUGCCAAGUACGGGAUAAGAGAAUAGAGCAAGGAGUUUGAGCGCUGCUGCCAAUCUUCCAUCUCGGGCGUGGCUCUGGCCUUUUUGUCUCUUUAUCCCGCCACUCCCCACCCCCGUCCCCCGUCCCCCUCCCCGCCUUCUUCUCUUUCCUCUUGAAAGUAACCUCUCUUUGGUUACUUCUACCCUAUCGUCCCUUGCAAUCCCGCCUUCUCUCCUGCCCAGUUCGGUGAGGUCAGCUCAUGAACAUCUCUGCACUUCCUGGGGAGCGUCUGGCCCAGCUUGGUACCUCGCGUGUUAGCCUGCUGAGAGCUGCAGCUCCAGCCCAGCCGCGGACCGCCGGGAAGUCACCCGCUCUGGGGGCAGCUGAAUCUUGACGUUACCGCCAUUGUUUGGAGAAAUCGAGUGGGUGUGGAACUGCGGCGAGCGAGCCCAAAGUCAUGCUCAGCCGGAAAGUCGCAUACAAUAAUAUGAAGUUGAACUUUCCUCGGCGCAGAAAGGCACAAUAAUAAACCCUGAGAUCCCCGGAAUAUCAGAAGGAAAGUGCUGUUGAUUUGUUCAGCUACUUGGAAACCUCGCCUCUGCUGAGAACUUAGGAAGGAAGGUUGGCGGCGGUGAAGAGGGAAGAGGAUGAUCUAGUAAUGGGCUCUUCCAAAUCGCAUCUGGUAGGUUCAUAGCCAUGAGUCAGCCACCAAUCGGGGGCGCUGCCCCUGCCACAGCAGCAGCUUCUCCCGCCGCUGCAGCCACUGAGGCUCGUCUGCACCCGGAGGGCAGCAGCAGAAAGCAGCAGCGAGCUCAGUCACCCGCUAGACCGAGGGACAGUUCGCUGCGACAGACAAUCGCGGCCACCCGGUCCCCAGUGGGGGCCGGCACUAAACUCAAUUCUGUUCGGCAGCAGCAGCUGCAGCAGCAGCAACAGCAGGGUAACAAGACCGGGAGCCGCACGGGGCCGCCCGCCAGCAUCCGAGGAGGCGGAGGUGGGGCCGAGAAGGCGACGCCCCUGGCGCCCAAAGGGGCCGCUCCGGGAGCUGUCCAGCCUGUGGCUGGUGCUGAAGCGGCCCCCGCCGCGACCCUGGCCGCUUUGGGCGGCAGGAGGCCCGGACCGCCCGAGGAGCCGCCUCGGGAGCUAGAGUCCGUGCCCUCGAAACUCGGGGAACCCCCUCCGCUCGGAGAAGGGGGAGGAGGGGGCGGGGAAGGAGGAGGAGCCGGCGGCGGCUCCGGGGAAAGGGAGGGGGGCGCUCCGCAGCCGCCGCCGCCCAGGGGCUGGCGAGGGAAAGGCGUACGCGCUCAGCAGAGGGGCGGCAGCGGCGGGGAGGGGGCCUCCCCUUCUCCAUCCUCCUCUUCUGCGGGCAAAACCCCAGGAACCGGCAGCAGAAACUCCGGAAGCGGCGUUGCGGGGGGCGGCAGCGGUGGUGGAGGGAGCUACUGGAAAGAAGGAUGUCUGCAGUCUGAGCUCAUCCAGUUCCAUCUCAAGAAGGAGCGGGCGGCAGCGGCGGCGGCCGCGGCUCAGAUGCACGCUAAGAACGGCGGCGGCAGCAGUAGCCGCAGCUCCCCGGUGUCUGGCCCCCCUGCCGUUUGCGAGACCCUGGCCGUCGCCUCCGCCUCCCCAAUGGCGGCGGCGGCGGAGGGCCCCCAGCAGAGCGCAGAGGGCAGCGCGAGCGGCGGGGGCAUGCAGGCGGCAGCGCCCCCUUCGUCGCAGCCGCACCCGCAGCAGCUCCAAGAGCAGGAAGAAAUGCAAGAGGAGAUGGAGAAGCUGCGAGAGGAAAACGAGACUCUCAAGAACGAGAUCGAUGAGCUGAGAACCGAGAUGGACGAGAUGAGGGACACUUUCUUCGAGGAGGAUGCCUGUCAACUGCAGGAAAUGCGCCACGAGUUGGAGAGAGCCAACAAAAACUGCCGGAUCCUGCAGUACCGCCUCCGCAAAGCCGAGCGCAAAAGGCUCCGCUACGCCCAGACCGGGGAAAUCGACGGGGAGCUGUUGCGCAGCCUGGAGCAGGACCUCAAGGUUGCAAAGGAUGUAUCUGUGAGACUUCACCAUGAAUUAGAAAAUGUGGAAGAAAAGAGAACAACAACAGAAGAUGAAAAUGAGAAACUGAGGCAACAGCUCAUAGAAGUUGAAAUUGCAAAGCAAGCUUUACAGAAUGAACUGGAAAAAAUGAAAGAGUUAUCCUUAAAAAGAAGAGGAAGCAAAGAUUUGCCAAAAUCUGAAAAAAAGGCUCAACAGACUCCCACAGAGGAGGACAAUGAAGAUCUGAAGUGCCAGCUGCAGUUUGUUAAGGAAGAAGCCGCUUUGAUGAGAAAGAAAAUGGCCAAGAUUGAUAAAGAAAAGGACAGAUUUGAACACGAGCUCCAGAAGUACAGAUCCUUUUAUGGGGAUCUGGACAGUCCUUUGCCCAAAGGAGAAGCCGGAGGCCCUCCCAGCACUAGGGAGGCCGAGCUCAAGCUACGGCUAAGGCUGGUGGAGGAAGAAGCCAACAUCCUGGGCAGGAAAAUCGUCGAACUGGAGGUGGAGAACAGAGGCCUGAAGGCGGAACUGGACGACCUUAGGGGCGAUGACUUCAACGGCUCGGCCAACCCGCUCAUGAGGGAGCAGAGCGAAUCCCUGUCGGAGCUGCGGCAGCACCUGCAGCUGGUGGAAGACGAGACGGAGCUGCUGCGGAGGAACGUGGCCGACCUGGAGGAGCAGAACAAGCGCAUCACGGCGGAGCUCAACAAGUACAAGUACAAGUCCGGCGGCCACGACAGCGCGCGGCACCACGACAACGCCAAGACCGAGGCCCUGCAGGAGGAGCUGAAGGCGGCGCGCCUGCAGAUCAACGAGCUCAGCGGCAAGGUCAUGCAGCUGCAGUACGAGAACCGCGUGCUUAUGUCCAACAUGCAGCGCUACGACCUGGCCUCGCACCUGGGCAUCCGCGGCAGCCCCCGCGACAGCGACGCCGAGAGCGACGCGGGCAAGAAGGAGAGCGACGACGACUCGCGGCCUCCGCACCGCAAGCGCGAAGGGCCCAUCGGCGGCGAGAGCGACUCGGAGGAGGUGCGCAACAUCCGCUGCCUCACGCCCACUCGCUCCUUCUACCCGGCGCCCGGGCCCUGGCCCAAGAGCUUCUCCGAUCGGCAGCAGAUGAAGGACAUCCGCUCGGAGGCCGAGCGCCUGGGCAAGACCAUCGACCGGCUCAUCGCCGACACGAGCACCAUCAUCACCGAGGCGCGCAUCUACGUGGCCAACGGGGACCUGUUCGGACUCAUGGACGAGGAGGACGACGGCAGCCGCAUCCGGGAGCACGAGCUGCUCUACCGCAUCAACGCUCAGAUGAAGGCCUUCCGCAAGGAGCUGCAGACCUUCAUCGACCGCCUCGAGGUGCCCAAGUCUGCGGACGACCGCGGCGCCGAGGAGCCCAUUUCCGUGAGUCAGAUGUUCCAGCCUAUCAUUUUACUUAUUCUCAUUCUUGUAUUAUUUUCAUCACUUUCUUACACAACAAUAUUUAAACUUGUCUUCCUUUUUACACUGUUUUUUGUACUGUAAAUCUUUCAUCAUUUACCAUUCAUUGUAGUAUUUUCAGUUUGUUUAUUUUGUUCACCCUUCAAGACAAGAAGUAAAAGAAGUAUAAUUUCUGUAGUAACCAAUGCUAUAAAAACACUGAAGACUGCUUAUUUCUUUAAAAAGAUACAACUCAUCUUACCAAGACCAAAUUCAAUAAGAAGCCCAAACACUAAAAUAUUUCAGGCUUUAUUUUAAAGGCAAGUGAGACUGCUUCAAAUAAAACAACUUCAAGCUUCCAAGAAACAGUUAAGAGGAGGCAGAGAAGAGCAGAAACACUUCUUUGCUGACACUUACACUGUUGCCAUGGACCUACAUAAGCAGUGGGAGAACACAGAGACUAACUGGCAUAAGGAAAAGAUGGAAUUACUGGACCAGUUUGACAAUGAAAGAAAGGAAUGGGAAAGUCAAUGGAAGAUUAUGCAGAAGAAAAUAGAAGAGGCAUCAACUCUAGUGCUUCUCUCAACUGAGUUAUCGCUUUGCCGGGAAGUAAAGCUUUGGAGGAAAAUCAAUAUCAAUGAAAGUGCUAAGAUCAUUGAUCUUUACCAUGAGAAGACCAUUCCAGAGAAAGUGAUAGAAUCUUCCCCAAAUUACCCCGAUUUAGGACAAAGUGAAUUUAUAAGGACGAAUCACAAAGAUGGUCUGAGAAAAGAAAAUAAAAGAGAGCAGAGCUUAGUCAGUGGAGGAAAUCAAAUGUGUAAGGAACAAAAAGCAACAAAAAAAUCAAAAGUAGGGUUUUUGGAUCCUUUGGCUACAGACAACCAAAAGGAAUGUGAGGCCUGGCCUGACCUGAGGACUUCUGAGGAAGACAGCAAGAGCUGUUCUGGCGCCCUCAGUACAGCUCUUGAAGAACUUGCGAAGGUGAGUGAAGAAUUAUGCAGCUUUCAAGAGGAAAUUCGAAAGCGGUCUAACCAUAGAAGGAUGAAGUCAGAUUCUUUUCUCCAGGAAAUGCCAAAUGUAACUAAUAUACCUCAUGGGGACCCCAUGAUCAACAAUGACCAGUGCAUUCUUCCAAUCAGUUUAGAAAAAGAAAAACAGAAAAACAGGAAGAAUCUGAGCUGUACCAAUGUGCUCCAGAGCAAUUCUACGAAAAAAUGUGGAAUUGAUACAAUCGAUUUAAAAAGAAAUGAAACUCCACCAGUUCCUCCUCCAAGAAGCACCUCUCGAAAUUUUCCCAGCUCGGAUUCUGAACAAGCCUAUGAAAGAUGGAAGGAAAGGUUAGACCACAACAGCUGGGUGCCCCAUGAGGGUCGAAGUAAAAGGAAUUACAACCCUCACUUCCCUUUGAGACAACAAGAGAUGUCUAUGUUGUAUCCAAAUGAAGGGAAAACUUCGAAAGAUGGUAUCAUCUUUUCCUCUUUGGUACCAGAAGUCAAAAUAGAUAGCAAGCCUCCAAGUAAUGAAGAUGUUGGACUUAGCAUGUGGUCAUGUGACAUUGGGAUAGGUGCAAAAAGGAGCCCCUCUACUUCGUGGUUUCAGAAAACCUGCUCUACCCCCAGUAAUCCAAAAUAUGAAAUGGUGAUCCCAGAUCACCCUGCUAAAUCUCAUCCUGAUCUUCAUGUAAGUAAUGACUGUAGCUCCUCAGUAGCAGAGAGCAGUAGCCCACUUAGAAAUUUCAGUUGUGGCUUUGAAAGGACUACAAGGAAUGAGAAGCUGGCAGCAAAGACUGAUGAAUUUAACAGAACUGUAUUUAGAACAGAUAGAAAUUGUCAGGCAAUACAGCAAAAUCACAGCUGCUCAAAAUCAUCGGAGGAUCUCAAGCCCUGUGAUACCUCAUCUACUCACACAGGUAGCAUAUCACAAAGUAACGAUGUGUCCGGUAUUUGGAAAACCAAUGCCCACAUGCCUGUGCCCAUGGAAAAUGUGCCUGAUAAUCCCACCAAGAAAUCCACAACAGGCCUAGUAAGACAAAUGCAGGGACACCUAAGUCCUCGCAGUUAUCGAAAUAUGCUCCACGAGCAUGACUGGAGACCGAGUAAUUUGUCUGGCCGUCCGAGGUCAGCUGAUCCCAGGUCAAAUUAUGGUGUUGUGGAAAAGCUGCUGAAAACCUAUGAGACAGCAACAGAGUCUGCAUUGCAAAAUUCUAAGUGCUUCCAGGAUAAUUGGACCAAAUGUAAUUCUGAUGUCAGUGGUGGUGCCACAUUAAGUCAGCAUUUAGAAAUGCUCCAAAUGGAACAACAGUUUCAGCAAAAGACAGCUGUGUGGGGGGGACAGGAAGUGAAGCAAGGAAUAGAUCCGAAAAAGAUAACAGAGGAAUCCAUGUCAGUGAACGCCUCACAUGGAAAAGGAUUUUCCCGACCUGCUAGACCAGCAAAUCGUCGUCUCCCCUCCAGAUGGGCAUCCAGAUCUCCAUCUGCACCCCCUGCCUUGCGGAGAACUACCCACAACUAUACCAUUUCUCUGCGAUCCGAAGCAUUGAUGGUUUAAGUCUUUGGCCUGGAUUGCUAUAUUACAGAAGUUCUAGUCCCACUUGUCAAACAGAGCAUUCUGAGUGUUUACAGGCGGACCUGUUCUCUUCCGACAAGCAAUUUGAAUCUUAACUUUCCAUCAGUCUUCAGUGUUUUUAAUCUAAGGAAUAAUUAUCUUCCUGCAUUUUGAUUUCUUAGAUCAGAAUUUUUUAAUGCCAUCCUCAUUAGUUUUCCAAUACAAUAUAAGUUGAAACAAUGUACAAUAUUGUAUAUUCUUUGUUGCAAGUGGCAGAAAGUAAGGUUAUGUGCAUGGCCAUGUGUUUGUAGGUGCAUGUGUUGAAAUAGGAAGUAUCCUAGUAUGUAUUUAGAUAUGAAAAACUUAUGUGCUAGUGUUGACUUUGAAAUUAUAACAUGUAUACCUAUAUAUUCUUUGUGUUUAUUUAAAAGUUUUGAAAAUAUGCAGUACUGUUUAUAUUUUGUAUACCUUUUAAUAGGUAUCCACUUAAGGCAUUUGCAGUACAAAUAUUAAUUGACCACUUCCUUGGCCCCCAGCUACAAUGAAAAAGAAGAAUUAUGCACACAUCUAACAUUGGUAGAUUUCUAAAGACAACUCAUAAAUAAUUUCUUAACCCAUAUAAGGAUAAAAUAAUACCAUUGAUAUUCUUGUUUAUUCUUUUUAAAUAAAAAUGUCACAAGUUUAAUAGAUCAGCCUUGUAAAGCAAGCAUAAAAUGUUCAUAAAUGUUUUAUAUAUUAUUUGGUAGUCUAGUAUGGCUUUAACUGAAUAUUUGAUCCUCAGAGACAGUAUCAUGAGACUGCAUUAUAAAUGACAUGAUUAAAUGAUGAAUUUAUUUUGUCAGCCUCAGCAACAAACAUUUCCUAAAUGGGAUGCAAAAAGAAACUGAAUGAUGUUGAAUUUUAGUUUUUCUUUAAGUUGUGGUAAGCUUUUAGUUUAGCUGCUUUAACAUGGAGUCAUACAUACUUAGAGGUAAGUCAUUUAUUAUUUUUUUCCUUUUUCUAAUCUUUUCCUUAAAAUUAAUAGAUAACAAACUAAGUUACUUUUUUACUAACAAGGAAGAUCAGGAAUAAUAUUUCUUUGAAAGCUGAAAUUAUACUUCUCACAGUUUGCUACCGAAAAAAGGCUUAAACUAAACCUUGACAUCCACAGUAGCAUCAGGAAUAGAAAUGUGUAUUUUGGCUACAGUUUGCAUACAGUGAACACAUAAAAUCUAUAUUGAAAACUGACAGAAAUAUGAAUGUCGAGGGGCUUGGAAUUCUAAAUGGAAGAUUUUAGAAGGAACUUUGCUCUCUACUGUCACUAUAUAAAACCAAUUAUGUUAUGUUAUUAGAUAUUAACUCUAUUUAAGCUUUUCUUUUACUAAGAAAUUCUUAUGCCAAAUGUAUUCCAAGAGCCAUCUCCUUAUGAUGUAUUUGAACCAUUUAGAGAAAUUCACUUCAUUGUACCCCAUGACCUGAGGUAAAGAAAAUAAUUUUCAAAUUGCAGACUUCCUUGAAAGGCUCAAGACUGUAGCAUGGUGAUGUCUAGAUUCAUACUUUACUGUAAGGACAGUUUCGGUAGUUAAGUGGAAUUAAAGGUCUAGAGUGAUUUGUAUUGGAUGGUAACUAAGGUCUAUACAUCUACUCUUUUAAUUCUUAUUUCCUUCAGGAAGAUCCUUUUCCACAGGAAGCUAUCAAAGAAAAGUAAACUAGACACCAAGUAAUAUCACUCUCAUAAUAUGCUUUCCAGCUAGAGGGGAGAAAACACCAGGAAAGAGGAACCCUGGGUCAUAAAAUGACGGACCUGUUAGGAAAAUGCUGUUGUGUGACAAUGGAGAGCCUGCCCAAGGACUGUGCAACCUAUCUGUUCCUCUCCACCAGUGUAUCCCAAGUAGUCUGGUAUGAUCUGUGGUUCCUUAGAAUAUUGAGGAUCUCUUUAAAAAAUGAAAUUUCUGAUCUCACCCCAUAUUACUAAAGCAAAAUUUCCAGGGGUAGGGACUGGGACUCCAGAACCAUUAAUAAAACAAAACAAAACAAAGCAAAAUAUUGAUGAUCAGGCAGAUUUGAAAACAGUGACAUUGCUUGAUCUCUGAAUGGAUGGAUGCCCUUGGGUGGUCACUUUUCUUCCUAGGACUUGCCUUUGUUAUCUGUAAAUUAGAAUGGCUAUACUUUCAGACUUCACAAUUUUAAGCCACUUUUUUCUAUUAACAGUUGAAUGAACCAGUGGGACACAUUUUAACGUCUUCUUAUGUUGACUAAAAUUAUAGUUAGAGCUGAGAAAAAAAAAAUAGCAUCUAGUCCAACUCCUUGAUUGUAAAACUGAAAAACUAAGGUUAUUUGAAUGUUCUGUUUUCUCUUUUUAAAUAUUUUAUAACUUUUAAAUGGAAAAACCUAUUAGGUAAAUGGAAAUAAUCCUUGAAAAUAGUUUUUGAUGUUUUGUGAUUUUUAACUGGUAAAUUUCUACUUUAGGUGGGCAUUUUCUUCCCUAGAAUAUGCCCUUUAUUAUGCUAUCAUUGCUAGAUUUAAAGGGACUUGUAAGCAUUUCUGGAAAUAUUUGAUUUAAAAACAUAUAUUAAUAGAUGUUUUCCCUAGCAGACUUUUGGAGCAAAAAUAUUAUUUUAGUUCAGCAGAGGAUUACUGAUAUUAUGGGCUGAUCUCAGAAAGGAAUAAGGAUGAGGCAGAGAGGAGUACUUGAGUUUGUGUGUGUGUGUGUGUGUGUGUGUUUGUGUCAGUGUCACAUAAGUUCUCCAUAUUGCCUUAUGUCCCAAAGCCAAAUAUAAAAAUAUAAAUGAUGCUUUGUAUAAUUCAUUUUAUCAAAAAUUACCCAUAACUUUCAUUUGUUUUUAUAUCGACAAUGAAGAUGAUCAUAUUUCAUUUUGCAGAUGUGGCCAUAAAAUAUUAUUUACUUCUAUAUAGGUGAUUUUACCAGGUUUAGUUAUCCUGAGAAAACAUCUGGACUUAAGAGUUUCUGCUUCCCUACAAAGAUCUUUAAAGUUAUUUUUAGGCACAUUUGUGACAAACAACUACUUGAUAUUGAAAUCUCCUUCAGCCAUUAGAAGCUAUCAAAUAAAGUAGGUGUAAAAACAACUGUCUGUGGCAUUUGUAUACAUCGAGAACAUUUUUCUUUCCCUCAUUUUCUGCAGUGAACUCCAGUAAAGCUAAGUGUCUUAUGAAAUCUAAACUCAUAUAUGUACACAGUUCACUCUAGCUUCUUCCAAAAUAUCUCUAGGUAGUACAACUGAAGCCAAACCUGCCUGACUUCCUGCUCCUGGCCACCCAAAACUCCAUAUGGCUUCUCGUACACUGACAUCCUCUCUCUACCCAUUUAACUGCUAAUUGAGUCUGAUAAAAGUCUUCUUUGAAAAAAGUUUUUACUUCUAAGAUUUGCAUUUACAUCAUAAAAUUAAACCAUUUUCAGGAAAAUCAGAUUUUUUUAUUACAGUACUAUUUGCUUUAAAUUCGGCAUGUUUUUCUUAAGUAGCAAGUACAUGUAUCGGAACUUAGAACUGGUGGGCGCGGUGGCUCUUGCCUGUAAUCCCAGCACUUUGGGAGGCCAAGGUGGGGGGAUCACGAGGUCAGGAGAUGGAGACCAUCCUGGUUUCAUCACGGUGAAACCCCCUCUCUGCUAAAAAUACAAAAAAUUAGCCAGGCAUUGUGGUGGUCACCUGUAGUCCCAGCUGCUCGGGAGGCUGAGGCAGGAGAAUGGCAUGAACCCGGGAGGCAGAGCUUGCAGUGAGCAGAGAUCGCGCCACUGCACUCCAGCCUGGGUGACAGAGUGAGACUCUGUCUCAAAAAAAAAAAAAAAAAAGAACUUAUAACUAUGACUUGUUCAUCUCACCCUGAAAAUAUGUUCCUACAAGAAAAUGUGCUUUGCAAAGCAAAAAAGGCAAAAAUUGGGGAUGAGUUCUUCAGACAAGUACCAAAAAUGAUUUCUCGUCAUUUUUAUUGUAUGCAUAUUCAUCAUAGAAAAUAAUUUUUUGUUUUAUUGGGAAUAAAAUCAUGAUACUUAAAAUCUGAUACACAUUUCAAUGAUAGUAUUAAUCCAAUAGGUUAAAUUAACAAAUUCUUAGGAAAAAAAUCUGUUUAUAUGAAGCUAUGGAGAAAUCUAGAAAGUAGGUAACGGUUUAGAUUUUGAGGGACCUAUGAACUCAGAACAAGUUCAUUUAGAGGUGGGAAACCUGAGAUUCAAAGAGGUCUGCAUGGCUGCCAAGAUUGCAGGGACAGAAUCCAAGCCUGGGCUCACUCAUGAUCUGCUCUCCUGUAUAAAUGUCCCAUGUGCAUCUAUGACCUUAUUGUUUGCAAAGCAAAUUCAUAUUCCACGACUUGUCUGCUUCUUACAACAAACUACAAGGCAGGCAUUGUGAUUUCUAAGUAAGAAGGAAAAAUUAAGUAGUCAAGAUAAUAUUUAGAAUAAAUAUUUUUGAAGAUGAUAGUUAAAUAGAUGGCUCUUCAGACUCCUAGCUCAGGCUAUUUUUCCAGCCUUCUUUUCCCAAGGAAGAGAAGACAAAAAAAAAAAAAGAUUGAACAGCUCUUUUUCAUUUUUGUUUUGUUCAUUUUAUACAUGACACAAAUUGUUUAUCUUGCUCUCAUUGGGAGUUUCUGUUGAUUCCCUCUUUCAAUGAUCAUCAAAAGUCAUCACCCCUGACUUAAAUGGUUUUAUGAAAUUCAAGAAGUUGUGAACAAGGCUUUAACAAAAUAUUUCCACUUUUAAUGCCUAUGCUCUGAUUUUAUAUAAAUUUUGUAUGUAGGACAUGAUGUUGAAGUAAAACCAAUAAAUAGCCAAUCAGUAUUCAUCUCUAGCGUCAACUGAAUCCUGACCUCAAUCUUCAAAAGAAUCAGAAUAGUUUCACACUUCAUAAGUUACAUAUACUCCAGAAUAAAUAAAAGCAGUUUGCUUGAAGUAUUAUCUUGGCUCAUUUGUGCUGCUAUAACAAAACACACUUGAGACUGGGUUAUUUAUAAAGAACAGAAAUUUAUUUCUCUACAGUUCUGGAGGCUGGGAAGUCCAAGAUCAAGCUGCAAGCAGAUUCGGUGUCUGGUGAGGGCUGCUGUGUGCUUUCAAGGUGGUGCCUUAUUGCUGUGUCUUUAUAUGGCAGAAGGGGCCAACAAUGGAGAAACAGCAGAAUAGCAAGAAGCAGCUGAAUGCUAUGUGAUGCUUCUUUUAUAAGGGCCUUAAAUCCCAUUCAUGAAAGAGAAGCCUUCAUAAUCCAAUCACCUCCUAAAGGCCCUACCUCUUAAUAUUGAAGAUUAAGUUUCAACAUGAAUUUUGGAGGUACGUAUUCAAACCAUAGCAAGCAUACAGUAAUUUCCAAUAUAAACCUCACUCAAAAUUACAGUCACAUGCUGCACAAACCAGUUCAAUGCACAUAUAUGAUGAUAAGAUUAUAAUACAAUAUUUUUGCUAUACUUUUUCUAUGUUUACAUAUACAGAUAUCAUUGUGUUACAAUUGCCUUUAGUAUUCAGUACAGUAACAUGCUGUACAGGUUUGUAGCCUAGGAGCAAUAGAUCAUACUUUCAAGCCUACCAUCUAGAUUUAUAUAAUUACACUCUGUGAUGUUCGCUCAGUGAUGAAAUCACCUGAGAACACGUUUCUCAGAUCAUAUCCCUGUUGUUAAGCAAUGUGACUGCAAUUGUGCUCUGCUGCCAGUUUAUUUUUGAAGCUUUAUUUUUCAAUUACUUACUCAUGGCAAUUUUAUAAGAAUCAUUAAACAAAUUUAAUCCAGCUA